GACGAACGCUGGCGGCGUGCUUAACACAUGCAAGUGGAGCGACGAACCGGGGCUUGCCCCGGGGCAGAGCCGCGAACGGGUGAGUAACACGUGGGUAACCUGCCUCAAUGAUUGGGACAACCCCGGGGAAACUCGGGCUAAUACCAAAUGUGUUCACUCCUUCCAAGGGGAGUGAGGAAAGGAAGCUUCGGCCUCCGCAUUGAGAUGGGGCCCCGCGGCCCCAUUAGCUUGUUGGUGAGGUAACGGCUCACCAAGGCUUCGAUGGGUAGCUGGUCUGAGAGGACGAUCAGCCACACUGGGACUGAGACACGGCCCAGACUCCUACGGAGGCAGCAGUGGGAAUCUUGCACAAUGCGCGAAAGCGUGAUGCAGCAACGCCGCGU
rnacentral:rRNA from 1 species